rnacentral:lncRNA from 1 species
AACAGAUUGAGACUCCAUCUCAAAAAAAAAAAAAAAAUAAGUGGUCACUAAAGAAGAUAUCCAGUUGGUAAAUAUGCACAUGAAAAGAUGCUCAACAUGAUUAGUCAGUAGGAAAAUGCAAAUUAAAACCACAGUGUGAUUCCACUUCUCACCCAUUACUAUGGGUAAUGUUUGGGAAAAAACUGACAAUACCAAGUGCCAAUGAUGACGCAGAAUAACUAAGUGUUAGAAGGAAUGCAAAAUUGUACAACAGUCACCCUGGAGAAUGGUUUGCCAGUUUCUUAUAUAUUUCAACACAUACCGUAUGACCUAUCAAUCUCACGGCUAGGUAUUUACUUAAGUAAAAGAAAAAUUUACAUUUAUAUAAAAAUCAGUACAUGAUAUCUGUGACAGCUCUAUUAGUAAUUGCCAAGAAUGGCAUGCAUACAAGGGAAUAUUUUAGCAAUGGGAAUAGCGCGUAUCUUCAUUAUGCUGGUAUUACCUGAGUGUAUACGUUUGUCAAAUCUCAUCAAAACGUACAUUUAAAAUUGGUGAGUUUUCUCAUAACCACACCUCAAUAAAACUCACUUUAAAAAAUUCUCUAAUCAGUUUAAAGAUUGUAUAGAAGGAGAUUUUAAGAGGAGCUGAAAAAACAGUGGCUUGGUAAGCAAAAUAGAAUUAUUAAAAGCCCCAAGUACUUUGAUUUCCUAAUGUUCAGUAUUUAGUGUUGCCACAUUGAUAGGAGCUUCUAGAGCAUUUAUAUUACUUUGACUCUCAUUUUUUCUUACUAUAAUUUUCUAAAAAAUAGAAAAUCUGCCUCCUGGAGAGAUAAAACAGAGGUCCAGUGCAAAUAGGAAUAAUGCAUAACUUCAUACUGGGUUGAUUCAUGUCUUCUAUGAAAGAAAUUAUUUUUUCAAGUUGCACGUAGUUUUAUUUGGAAAGUCAGUACCUGUUGAAUUAUUUUUGUUACCCUUAUUAUCAUGAAGUUUUGUGUUUUACUUCUCACAAGCAUUUAUUUCCUUUAAGCACAACACUGACUUUGACUGAAAGACAAAGGAAGUCAUAGCACCUCAAAGCUUGGUGAAUAAUGAAACAAAUGAUGAUACAUCCACACCACAGAAUCCUACUCAGCAAGAAAAAUAAACUAUUACUGCCUGCACAAAUUGGAUAAACCUCAAGGGAGUUACUCUGAGUGGAAAAAGCCAAUAUCAAAAGGUUUCGGGAAUAAAGGAGCAAGGAAGUUGGCAGCAUCUACAAAAUGAUAGCACAAAGGAGCCCUGUGAUGGAAGUGACCUGUACUUUGAGUGCAGUGGUGAGUCUACACAUGCGAUGAUAUUACACAGAAUGAAGUACACACACCGCACACACGAAUGUAUGUAAAACUGGCAAAAUCUGAAUAAGGUCAGUGGAUUUUAUCUGUGUCAGUUUUUAAAUUGUGAUAUUUUACUACAGUUGUAUAAAAUAUGACCAUUGGGAGAAACUAGAUGAAGCUUUCAUGGGAGCUUACGUGGCUUUGCAUUUUUUCUUAUAACUGCAUGGGAAUCUAUAAUUACGUCAAAAUAAGAAGCUUAUAAAGCAAAUGAACAUUAAAUAUUUUAAAAACAGGAAUGCUGGCUUGUAUCAUAGUGUAAGUACUUUAUCAGAGAUACUCCUAAAUAUUUUACUUCAUGUAUUUAAUUAGAAUAGAUCUUUGCAUUAAGAAAGCAAGAUUCACUUUAAUGCUGCUUCUGAAAGUUGCUUCGUAGAGAGAGAGAAUGGAAUGAAACACAUGGUACAGUCCUGUUUCAUAAUAGAUUUCAAGGUACAUUCUUUAAAGGUUAUGUUAAAAGUUGAUUGUCUUAAAUCUUUAUUUUAUAAAGAGACUUUAAAAUUUAAGUGAUCAUGACUUUUGCAUAUUUUAUGUAUAUUACGGGAACAUUUAACUAAAAACUUAUGAAAGAAUAAGAGAUGUUCUAAAUCACCAAGGCAGUUUUACGUGCUUUAGAUUUUGCAUUAAUAGAGACACUUUAACCAAAGAGCAUUUCAUGUUUGUCUUUCCCUCACCUCCAGUUCUUCAAUUUAAUAUGUGGUUACCCUCUUUUCAAGAGUUACAGUACCAUUUUAAAUUCCCAUUAGCGUUGUAAAAUGAUCCAGUUUUUCCAUAUCCCGGUCAGCAUUUAGGGUUAUCACUGUCGUUUUAUUUUAGUCAUUUUGAUAGGUGUAUUAGUGACAUCUCAUUGUGGUUUUAAUUUUCAUUCCUUUAAUA